rnacentral:rRNA from 1 species
CGCCUGUUUAUCAAAAACAUAGCUAUAAGCAUUUAUUUAUAGUUAUACCUGCCCAAUGUAUAAUUUUUAUAAAUGGCCGCGGUAUCCUGACCGUGCUAAGGUAGCGUAAUAAGUUGGCUUUUAAAUGGAGUCAGGUAUGAAUGGAUAAACCGGGUUUAGCUGUCUCAUUUAUAUUUUAUUGAAUUUACUGUGCAAGUGAAAAAGCUUGUUUUAUAUAAGGGGACGAGAAGACCCUUAAAAUUUUGAUUUAAAGUCAUUACUUAUUACUAUGAUUUUGUUGGGGCGACAUAGAAAUAAUUAAAACUUUCUAUAUAAUAUAAGCCGGAAUUAUCAAGGUAGAAUAAAUUACUUAAGGGAUAACAGCAUAAUUCUAAAAUUGAGUUUGUGACCUCGAUGUUGGACUAGGAAGCUGGCAGGUUAGAUGCUUGCUGUGGGGAUUCUGUUCGAAUUUUAACUCCUACGUGAUCUGAGUUCAGACCGG